AUAUGAAAAAUGUAAUAGACAUUUCAUUUUUCAUUCUUCAUAUUUUUAAUUCACGCAUAAUUUUUAAAUUAUAAUAACAGAAAUAUUUAAUAAUAAUUAUGUAUUUAAAUUGGCUUAUAGUUGGUUUUAAAAGAAAACACUGUUGGGCUUUGGUUUGGUUAGGAUUUGUUUUUUGUCAGAUAAAAUGAGCGAUAAUUGCCCAAAGAGAGCAACAAAUCUGUUAUGUCAAAAUCUAUGUUUUUGUGGCCGUUUGGUUUUAAAAAAAAAAACAGAAAAGGGAAAGUAAAAAAAAAAAAAUUCUCGAUCCAAUUUUUCUUUGAGGAAUCGACGACACGCUAGAACUGAAAUAGAGAAUCGAUGAGAGAAUCAGUGGGUAGAUCUAUCGAUCUUGAUGGAUAGGGCGUUGGUGAAGAUUGAAACUGUUGCUUGAUUCACAGAUGAAGAAGAUGAAUGGGUGAUUUGCUUGGUCACAUAAGAUUUCCGAGCAAAAACAACUUCCAACUUUUUAGAUGGAUAAUAAACAGAGGCAAUCCUUUUAAUUGAUUAUGCAUCUUAACUUCUUUCACCUUCGUUACUUCCUUUCGCUGAUGUCCCAGAAGAAUUUCUUUGCUGUCUCUUAUGCUAAUGACUGAAUGAUAUAUGUUUAUGCUUGUACAACCUAUGUUCCUCAAUUUGGAGUCUCUUAUGAUUUAUUCUAAUUUUUUAUUUCAGGCACUAACAAAUUAGUGUAUGAAUAAUUUGAUUAAUCUGUUAUAAAGCAGAAGUUGAAUGAUAUAUGUUUAGUUUGUUGUCUUAUUAAUGUUUACGACUCAUGUGCAGGUCUUGUAGUGACAGAGAGUACUGGUAGAGCUUUAUUAAUGCGACUCCAACCUCAAUCACAAAAACCUCAAACCUGAGAAAAGAUAAGUUUUUAUUAGAUGUAACCUCAACGCAUACAAUGACUAUAGUAUAUUUAAUAUUUUGUGAAAUCUAAACGGUUAACUAAUGUUUUCUCUUAAUUUUACAGAACAGAGUCUAUAUGUUGUAUGAUGAUGAAAGACAUGAGGCAAAGUCAAACCAAACUUGCGCACAAGUAUGUAAUGACAUGUAUCCAACCAUUCUGCAAUGAUAUAAUCUGUAAAUUACUAUUAAACAUUUUUCAGAAUUUUAGAAGCUAUGAAUGGAAGUGACUAUCGGUAGUUAUGAUUGAAA